GUGAGGAAUAUUGGACAAUGGAUGGAAAUCUGAUCCAGCCAUGCCGCGUGCAGGAAGACGGCCCUAUGGGUUGUAAACUGCUUUUAUACGGGAGCAAUAAGGUCUAUGCAUAGAUUGAUGAGAGUACCGUAUGAAUAAGCAUCGGCUAACUCCGUGCCAGCAGCCGCGGUAAUACGGAGGAUGCGAGCGUUAUCCGGAUUUAUUGGGUUUAAAGGGUGCGUAGGCGGCUUUGUAAGUCAGCGGUGAAAUUUUGCAGCUUAACUGUAAAAUUGCCGUUGAAACUGUCGGUCUUGAGUGCAAAUGAGGUAGGCGGAAUGUGUUGUGUAGCGGUGAAAUGCUUAGAUAUCACGCAGAACUCCGAUUGCGAAGGCAGCUUACUAAGCUACAACUGACACUGAAGCACGAAAGCGUGGGGAUCAAACAGGAUUAGAAACCCUGGUAGUCC
rnacentral:rRNA from 1 species